UCCCAGCGGACAACUUGUCUGGACUGCUACGAUGUAUUCAGCAGGAACAGAGAGUUUGAUCAAACAAGCCAGGGAGAUCGGGGAGGAGGAGCUACAGAAGUUCUACUGCAGGAUCACCAAGCAGCUGAUGGGUAAAGAACACGGCCAUGAUGUCAUCGACUCACUCCAGAGACUACACCUGAUCAUGGCCUCAACCAAGUACACUAGGAGGCUGCCAGUGGAGCUGCAUGACCGUCUGCUGUCGCUUUGUGUGUCUUCCUCUGUGGAGCAGCGACUGUGUUGACCUCGGCAGUACUCAGAGAAACACUGCCCCCUCUGGUCCGGGGCAGAUCUACACCCUACAUGACCACAGCCCUUUACCCAGUCAUACUGCUGCUUUAAUGCUGUCACAGGCAGAGUCUAAAGAAGACCUGUCAGCUCUCUCCUCUCUCCUCCUUCCUUCAAGUUUGGAGGGACGACCAGCAGGCAUACUCUCUCACCUUCACACUCUGCCUCUUCUCCAACACCAUCAUCACCUACUGCCCAGAGAGCCUUACUGAAGAUCAUGUGACCCUGCUCAGUAAGAGGCUUGUCGAAUGGCUGCGCUACGCCAGUGUUCAGCAGGGAGGUGUGGCUUCGUCAGGAGGGUUUUCACUGGCCCUCGAAUACGUCAGCCGGGCCGGUGGUGGAGCUGGACGGCUGUGUGUGUGGGGAUUUCUUCACGGUGCUGUGUGUCAGCCAAGCCUUCUCAGACGACCAAUGGAUGAACCUCUACAGUUUCUCUGCUACGCCAUUGGCUGAUCACAUACCACAAUGUAACGGAUGGCAACAACAGCACAGACGCAGAUGACAGGUCGGAGGUGGACGGCUCUGUGGUUUCCAUGGUAUCAGCCACGUCGUCCUCCAGCAGACUCCUUCCUCCUAAAGAACAUCUGAGAGAGAAGAGUUUCCAGUACUGCCAACGCCUCAUAGAACAGAGUGACCGCAGUAUGUACCCUACACCCUAACCCCUACACUACUGCCUCAUAG